GACGAACGCUGGCGGCGUGCUUAACACAUGCAAGUCGAACGGAAAGGCCCUGCUUUUGUGGGGUGCUCGAGUGGCGAACGGGUGAGUAACACGUGAGUAACCUGCCCUUGACUUUGGGAUAACUUCGGGAAACGGGGGCUAAAACGGAAUGGAGCCUCCGGCGGCAGGGGGGGGGUUGGAAGGUUUCGGCGGUUGGGGAUGGACUCGCGGCUUAUCAGCUUGUUGGUGGGGUAGUGGCUUACCAAGGCUUUGACGGGUAGCCGGCCUGAGAGGGUGACCGGCCACAUUGGGACUGAGAUACGGCCCAGACUCCUACGGGAGGCAGCAGUGGGGAAUAUUGCACAAUGGGCGGAAGCCUGAUGCAGCAACGCCGCGUGCGGGAUGACGGCCUUCGGGUUGUAAACCGCUUUCGCCUGUGACGAAGCGUGAGUGACGGUAAUGGGUAAAGAAGCACCGGCUAACUACGUG
rnacentral:rRNA from 1 species